rnacentral:rRNA from 1 species
AUUGAACGCUGGCGGCAUGCCUUACACAUGCAAGUCGAACGGUAACAGGUCUUCGGAUGCUGACGAGUGGCGAACGGGUGAGUAAUACAUCGGAACGUGCCCGAGAGUGGGGGAUAACGAGGCGAAAGCUUUGCUAAUACCGCAUACGAUCUCAGGAUGAAAGCAGGGGACCGCAAGGCCUUGCGCUCACGGAGCGGCCGAUGGCAGAUUAGGUAGUUGGUGGGAUAAAAGCUUACCAAGCCGACGAUCUGUAGCUGGUCUGAGAGGACGACCAGCCACACUGGGACUGAGACACGGCCCAGACUCCUACAGGAGGCAGCAGUGGGGAAUUUUGGACAAUGGGCGCAAGCCUGAUCCAGCCAUGCCGCGUGCAGGAUGAAGGCCUUCGGGUUGUAAACUGCUUUUGUACGGAACGAAAAGACUCUGAUUAAUACCUGGGGUCCAUGACGGUACCGUAAGAAUAAGCACCGGCUAACUACGUGCCAGCCGCCGCUGUAACAC